UACGGAGGGGGCGAGCGUUAUUCGGAAUCAUUGGGCGUAAAGGGCGCGUAGGCGGCCCCGUAAGUCUUGGGUGAAAGCCCUCGGCUCAACCGAGGAAUUGCCUUGGAUACUGCGGGGCUCGAGGCUGGAAGAGGGCAGUGGAAUUCCCGGUGUAGCGGUGAAAUGCGUAGAUAUCUGGAGGAACACCGGGUGGCGAAGGCGGCAUCCUGGACCGACACUGACACUGAGGAGCGAAAGCCAGGGGAGCAAACGGG
rnacentral:rRNA from 1 species